rnacentral:rRNA from 1 species
AAUCAACGCUGGCGGCGUGCCUCAGACAUGCAAGUCGAACGAUUAAACUUUCCUUCGGGGAAGAUAUAGAGUGGCGCACGGGUGAGUAACACGUAAGUAAUCUACCCUUGGGUGGGGAAUAACAUCGGGAAACCGAUGCUAAUACCGCAUAAUGCAGCGGCUUCUUAUGAAGACAGUUGUUAAAGCAUUUAUGUGCCUGAGGAGGAGCUUGCGGCAGAUUAGCAGUUGGUAAGGUAAUGGCUUACCAAGGCGACGAUCUGUAGCCGACCUGAGAGGGUGGUCGGUCACACUGACACUGAAUAACGGGUCAGACUCCUACGGGAGGCAGCAGUCGGGAAUUUUGGGCAAUGGGCGCAAGCCUGACCCACGCAACGCCGCGUGAAGGAU